rnacentral:lncRNA from 1 species
GUGAUUUUAUGAAAGUUAAAUAUUUAUAAUUCUGUAGUUUGAAUUUCGCCCUCUGCAAUUUCACCGGAUGUUGGCCAGGUGGGACGCUACCGCCCCACCUGCCCAUAAGAAGUUAAACGUAACCGCUCUACAAGACUACAGCCAGAAAGAUUCUACAAAAGACAAUGGCAGUCUUCCAUCUUCGACCCAGCUAUCGAAGCACAGCUCAGAGAAGUACAAGUGACAGCUCAUUAGCAGCAUGUUGAGAUGUAUCUGCCAGCAGUUCAAGCUUGGUUUACACAUCGGGGUGGAGCUAUUCUACCUAUUCAAAGACCUGCGGUCACAACUGCUUACAGUCGACGUAACCCCAUGGGUCUGAUGGUUGCACUUGAUGACAACAACAGAGCAGCAGGAGAGCUAUUCUGAGAUGACGGAGUCUCUGGAGGUAUUUCAACAAAGUCAGGUAGAGUUAGUCAGUGUGUACGUGUACAUACAUGUUUUUCUGUACGUCUACCGGCAUCCUGUUAUGCCAUAGAAAAUCG